UAGUCAUAUGCUUGUCUCAAAGAUUAAGCCAUGCAUGUCUAAGUACAUACCUUUGCACGGUGAAACCGCGAAUGGCUCAUUAAAUCAGUUAUGGUUCCUUAGAUCGUUCUUUUUACAUGGAUAACUGUGGUAAUUCUAGAGCUAAUACAUGCAAAAAGCUCCGACCGUAUGGGAAGAGCGCUUUUAUUAGACCAAAACCAAUGGGGUCGCAAGAUCCCUUUGUCUGGUGACUCUGGAUAACUUUGUGCUGAUCGCAUGGCCUUGAGCCGGCGACGUAUCUUUCAAGUGUCUGCCCUAUCAACUUUCGAUGGUAAGCGAUUUGCCUACCAUGGUUGUAACGGGUAACGGGGAAUCAGGGUUCGAUUCCGGAGAGGGAGCAUGAGAAAUGGCUACCACAUCUACGGAAGGCAGCAGGCGCGCAAAUUACCCACUCCUAGAACGGGGAGGUAGUGACGAAAAAUAACAAUACCGGACUCAAUGAGGCUCGGUAAUUGAAAUGAGUACAGUUUAAAACCCUUAACGAGGAUCUAUU
rnacentral:rRNA from 1 species